CACCAAAGUUUUUAAAAAAAAAAACAAAAAAGGGCUCCCCUUUUCUCUUUGGGUUAACCCAAAUUUCGUCCAAGAAGCUGAUCGGCCUCCAUCGCGGCUCCGCCGUGGCCGGUGGCCGGAGCUGCAAAAAGGGGGGCCUUUUCAACCCCUUUCCCCUCUUCUUCCUUUUUUAAAACAAAAAAAAAUAUUUUGAAAUCUAGAUCUAAAAAGAAAAGAAAAAAAAAGUUGGUAAAUCGCGAAGUAAAAUCUUCGCCUUCGUUGCGUUUCUGGCCUUAUCGGAACCUAAAUGGGUUGCAAUGACGUUUGAGUUACCGGAUAUCCUUGACGGUGAUAAGAAAAGAACCAAGGUUAGGGGAAAAGUCAACGAGCGAGGGCUUCCAUUUCGGUACAAAGGAACAAGAGGAGUCGAGCCUCGGGCGUUGGACGUGCUGACAAGGCAUGUGGGGGGUGCGGCGCUACAAAGGUUCAGAAACCUUAGGGUUUCUGAGUUGGUUUAGUCUUUUGGGCCUAUUGGGCUAAUAGGAAUUGGGUUAGGGAUUUUGGGUUGUGGUUUGGGUUUGAUAUUGUAAUUGGGCUUUGAAUUUUGGACUUUGGACAGGUAAUAUUUAUUUUGGAAUAUUUUUGGUUGUCUACUUUGGGGUUAGGCUGGGCAAAAUAGGCCUGUUACAAGUAUGUUUCUUAGAUUAUUAUGUACUAAUCACAACAUUACUCGUCGUGAUAACUAUAUAUAUGAUCUUCAAACUUGAGAUCAUCAUUGUCCCAACAUCGUGAGUUGUAUAUUUUGAUACAGCCAAACGUCUACCGUAACAUGUUGUACUAUAAAGACUGAUGUUGGGUAUGUCACAAUUUAUGUAGUGGGAUAUGAUUGAUCAAUAUAUGAUUUGUCCCUCCUACAUAA